AAUAUUCAUAAUUACACAACCCUGGCCACGGUAAUGCAUUGGUGGUAUUUUUAAUUUUUAUAUUAUUAUUAUAUGUAUAAUAAAUAUUAAUUAUUUAAGAAUAUGUAAAUAAUGUCAAAAUAAUUGGAAAAAUUAUUCUAAUCCUUAUGAAUGAGAAUUGAUACAAUUGACACUAAUAAAGCCAAUCACAUCGGUCUUCAUUCCAUAAUAAACCAUGGGGACAAGAUUGUUCAGAAAGUUGGCCAAAAUUGCACAAUAAAUACUUGGAACAAUCCUUUUCGUGGGCCAUGAAUAAUCGACCAUUACAGUCCUGAAUGGGAAAAAUAGUUGUCGUUGUAGGUUUGCCAGCUGCUACUACUUCAACUGCAUCAUCCAAGUCUGGCGUUACAUCUAAAGUAGACAUGUCACUUAUUGCAUGAAACCAUUUGAUAAUGGAAAACGUUGAUAGUGAAAAUCUUUCACAUAUAAAAGAUAAAGAUCCAGCAAGAACUCAUGCUUUUACGAGACGAACCUACCUUGCUAUUCACAGUUCUUGAAAGAAUACCUUGAAAAUGCAGUUGAUGAUGAACUACUGUUUAAUUGCAAUCAUUUUACUAAUUGGAAUAGAAUCUUGUAUUUCGAUAUCAUAAUUGACGAGGCACUAAGAAACAUCAUUAUGACAAAUUUUCUAUACAAUCAACCAAUGGUAAAUAAAUAUUUAUCAGUAUUUUAAAUUAAAAUCUUCUUCACAAUAUUUAAAAGAUUAUAUAUCAAACGCUUUUAUUGUAUAAAAAAAAAAAAAAUUAUAUCUAUUAUAAAGUUAACAUUAAUUAUAAUUCCUUUUUUUUAAAUCAAUUUAAGAAAUAUUUAAGUGCAAAUAAAAAUUAGAAAUAAAGAAUAAAGAUUUUUUCUGUUUCUAA